AGUGCCAGUCUGGUGCCAGUCGGUUCCAUUUUAUUGCCUCCUGGAGGGGGAGGUGCAUCCCGAAGAAACGGAACACAGUUCGGGCAAGGAUCUUGAAUUCGGUGGCUUAGAAAGGAUCUUAGCAAGUUGUCAGUUUCCAAAAGAGAUUUAUAUGACCCCAAAGCCAAGCAAUGUGCCCCUGUGGAAAAGGAAAAUCAUCAAUAAUGAAAAUCAUGGAUGGAAAAGGUGCCACUUGUUGAACAAAAGAAUAAAGGAUCCCCCAAUGUCAACUAUAGUUGUCAGAUGGCUGAAAAGGAACAUGAAACCCACUGAAGAUCUUCAGUCAGUAAUCCAGAAGCUGUCCAAUUUUGGGCCAAUUAAGUCAGUCAGCCUUUGUGGACAGCAAAGUGCCAUCGUGGUAUUUGAGAACACGACUUCAGCAUGCAAUGCUGUGAGUGCUUUUCACAGCAGGACCCCUGGCACCAUGGUGCAGUGUUCCUGGCAACAACCAUUUAUGUCAAAAGUUGUAAGGGUCCCUUUACCAAAAACCUAUAAAGCUUAUUCAAGAAAAUAUACUGAGAAGUCACAACCUAAGGAACAGAAAACUGAAAAAAAUGGAAUGAAAACUAAAAGGCCAACAACCAUAGCUAAGGGGCCACAAACAGGUACAU